CGGAACGUACCUUUCAGUGGGGGAUAACGUAGCGAAAGUUACGCUAAUACCGCAUAUUCUGUGAGCAGGAAAGCAGGGGAUCGCAAGACCUUGCGCUGAUGGAGCGGCCGAUGUCAGAUUAGCUAGUUGGUGGGGUAAAGGCUCACCAAGGCGACGAUCUGUAGCGGGUCUUAGAGGAUGAUCCGCCACACUGGAACUGAGACACGGUCCAGACUCCUACGGGAGGCAGCAGUGGGGAAUUUUGGACAAUGGGCGCAAGCCUGAUCCAGCCAUGCCGCGUGAGUGAAGAAGGCCUUCGGGUUGUAAAGCUCUUUCGGCCGGGAAAAAAUCGCUUGGGUUAAUACCCUGAGUGGAUGAUGGUACCGGAAUAAGAAGCACCGGCUAACUACGUGCCAGCAGCCGCGGUAAUACGUAGGGUGCGAGCGUUAAUCGGAAUUACUGGGCGUAAAGCGUGCGCAGGCGGUUUUGUAAGACAGGCGUGAAAUCCCCGGGCUCAACCUGGGAACUGCGUUUGUGACUGCAAGGCUAGAGUAUGGCAGAGGGGGGUGGAAUUCCACGUGUAGCAGUGAAAUGCGUAGAGAUGUGGAGGAACACCAAUGGCGAAGGCAGCCCCCUGGGCCAAUACUGACGCUCAUGCACGAAAGCGUGGGGAGCAAACAGGAUUAGAUACCCUGGUAGUCCACGCCCUAAACGAUGUCAACUAGGUGUUGGGUGGGUAAAACCAUUUGGUACCGUAGCUAACGCGUGAAGUUGACCGCCUGGGGAGUACGGCCGCAAGGUUAAGACUCAAAGGAAUUGACGGGGACCCGCACAAGCGGUGGAUGAUGUGGAUUAAUUCGAUGCAACGCGAAAAACCUUACCUACCCUUGACAUGCCAGGAACUUGCCAGAGAUGGCUUGGUGCCCGAAAGGGAGCCUGGACACAGGUGCUGCAUGGCUGUCGUCAGCUCGUGUCGUGAGAUGUUGGGUUAAGUCCCGCAACGAGCGCAACCCUUGUCGUUAAUUGCCAUCAUUUAGUUGGGCACUUUAACGAGACUGCCGGUGACAAACCGGAGGAAGGUGGGGAUGACGUCAAGUCCUCAUGGCCCUUAUGGGUAGGGCUUCACACGUCAUACAAUGGUCGGUACAAAGGGUUGCCAAGCCGCGAGGCGGAGCCAAUCCCAGAAAGCCGAUCGUAGUCCGGAUCACAGGCUGCAACUCGCCUGCGUGAAGUCGGAAUCGCUAGUAAUCGUGGAUCAGCAUGUCACGGUGAAUACGUUCCCGGGUCUUGUACACACCGCCCGUCACACCAUGGGAGCGGGUUCCGCCAGAAGUA
rnacentral:rRNA from 1 species